rnacentral:rRNA from 1 species
UACGUAGGGUGCAAGCGUUAAUCGGAAUUACUGGGCGUAAAGCGUGCGCAGGCGGCUUUGCAAGACAGAUGUGAAAUCCCCGGGCUCAACCUGGGAACUGCAUUUGUGACUGCAAGGCUAGAGUACGGCAGAGGGGGAUGGAAUUCCGCGUGUAGCAGUGAAAUGCGUAGAUAUGUGGAGGAACACCGAUGGCGAAGGCAGCCCCCUGGGUCAAGACUGACGCUCAUGCACGAAAGCGUGGGGAGCAAACAGG